UCCCUAAUCUGAAAAGGAAAGCACGUAUCUCUAUCUCCAUCUUCCCUGUUUCUGCAUCAUCUUCAACAGCGACGCCGUAGCUUCCUAACGCCGUCAGCAUUGCUGCAGCAGCUUCAGCAUCUUUGGGACAGCUCCACCGCAUCUUCAUUCCUACAUUCUCAAGCCAAAGGGAUUCUUCUCUUAGUACUGAGUAGUGCUUCUUCUUCUCCUCCAUCAUUGUUCAGCCCUCUGUGGUUAAUGUCACUGUUCCGCCCUCCACCGUCGCGAGGCUGUAGCAAUCCCACUCAGACUUGUAAUGAAGCUUUUACUCUGUGUCAUCAUUGAAUUCUUUGUUACGAGCGUUGUACGUUAAUUUCGGCAUCUUUCGAAAGCGAUUCUGUUUAUUACUUGAAUGAUUUAGGUGAAGUUCAAUUGGGAUGGUUUGUUCAAAGAAGAAGAAAGGAUUGUAUUUGGAUGGAAGCCAAAGAAGGUGAAAAGU